rnacentral:rRNA from 1 species
CCUACGGGUGGCUGCAGUGAGGAAUAUUGGUCAAUGGGCGCGAGCCUGAACCAGCCAAGUAGCGUGAAGGAUGACUGCCCUACGGGUUGUAAACUUCUUUUAUAAAGGAAUAAAGUGAGGCACGUGUGCCUGUUUGUAUGUACUUUAUGAAUAAGGAUCGGCUAACUCCGUGCCAGCAGCCGCGGUAAUACGGAGGAUCCGAGCGUUAUCCGGAUUUAUUGGGUUUAAAGGGAGCGUAGAUGGGUUGUUAAGUCAGUUGUGAAAGUUUGCGGCUCAACCGUAAAAUUGCAAUUGAUACUGGUAGUCUUGAGAAUAGUUGAGGUAGGCGGAAUGCGUGGUGUAGCGGUGAAAUGCUUAGAUAUCACGCAGAACUCCGAUUGCGAAGGCAGCUUACUAAACUGCAACUGACAUUGAUGCUCGAAAGUGUGGGUAGCAAACAGGAUUAGAUACCCGGGUAGUC